UACGUAGGGCGCAAGCGUUGUCCGGAAUUAUUGGGCGUAAAGAGCUCGUAGGCGGUUUGUCGCGUCUGCCGUGAAAGUCCGGGGCUCAACUCCGGAUCUGCGGUGGGUACGGGCAGACUAGAGUGAUGUAGGGGAGACUGGAAUUCCUGGUGUAGCGGUGAAAUGCGUAGAGAUCCGGAGGAACACCAGUGGCGAAGGCGACACGCUGGGCCGUACCUGACGCUAAAGCGCGACAGCAUGGGGAGCGAACGGG
rnacentral:rRNA from 1 species